UACGGUAGGGGGCAAGCGUUGUCCGGAAUCAUUGGGCGUAAAGAGCGUGUAGGCGGCCCGGUAAGUCCGCUGUGAAAGUCGGGGGCUCAACCCUCGAAUGCCGGUGGAUACUGUCGGGCUAGAGUGCGGAAGAGGCGAGUGGAAUUCCUGGUGUAGCGGUGAAAUGCGCAGAUAUCAGGAGGAACACCAAUGGCGAAGGCAGCUCGCUGGGACGUGACUGACGCUGAGACGCGAAAGCGUGGGGAGCAAACGGG
rnacentral:rRNA from 1 species